GUGUUUGUUUCUCCUCUGUGAUGCCUGUUUGCUAUCCCAGCCUGGGAGCCAGCUGAUUAUGGACUGAAACCUCUGCAAACUAUCAAGUAUAAAACAUGUUCCUCCUCCUGUUGGUAUCGAGCCUGGGAUUGAAGUUUCAUCAGACAUCUGGACCCACCAACAUGCACUGUGUGUUUGCAACGUGAAAAAGGUGGCCUGGGUCAUCAAUGAGAAAUACUACAUGCACUUGGGUACCAACAUCUACAUGAAUGAGCACAUGUGAGGAAACCACCAUAUUCUCAAAAAGAAGCUCUGCAACAAG
ensembl:lncRNA